rnacentral:lncRNA from 10 species
AUGCUCUGCAGAGAAAUCAAAGAUGGCGGUUGUAUCUGCUGUUCGCUGGCUGGGCCUCCGCAGCAGGCUUGGCCAGCCGCUGACGGGUCGGCGGGCGGGUUUGUGUGAACAGGCACGCAGCUGCAGAUUUUAUUCUGGUAGUGCAACCCUCUCAAAGGUUGAAGGAACUGAUGUAACAGGGAUUGAAGAAGUAGUAAUUCCAAAAAAGAAAACUUGGGAUAAAGUAGCCGUUCUUCAGGCACUUGCAUCCACAGUAAACAGGGCUGCAGUGCAAUGGCGCGAUCUCGGCUCACCGCAACCUCCACCUCCUGGGUUCAAGCAAUUCUUCUGCCUCAGCCUCCUGAGUAGCUGGGAUUACAGGCAUGUGCCACCACGCCCAACUAAUUUUGUAUUUUAAGUAGAGACGGGGUUUCUCCAUGUUGGUCAGGCUGGUCUCGAACUCCUGACCUCAGGUGAUCCACUUGCCUUGGCCUCCCAAAGUGCUGGGAUUACAGGUGUGAGCCACUGCGCCAAACUUUUUUUUUUUUUUUUUUUUAAUUUAUUUUUUGAGACGGAGUCUUGCUGUGUC